CGGGCCUGGAAGCGAGUCCGACUCGUCGCUUCGGCGCCCGCUGAGAGAAGAAGGCUAUCCAAUGAGAGGGCCCAAGGUAGUGGCGUGCGCUUGAAUCGUCCUCUAUACAGUCUGGAGGAUCAAAGCCAGGCGAAGCGACGGAGACCUACUGAACCUGCCAUGUUCCUGGCACUGCGUUCUGCUUGACGCCUGGCAGUAUGGACCUCCUGACACACAAGAGUGGAGUGUUCUCUUCUUGAUGGGCCUUGAGAGGACCACACAAUAAUAGAGUUGGGGCGCGGAUCUUGAAAAAAGAAAUUCUGCGUCUCUUUCCUGUACCUGGUACCUAUUUUCCAGUCUUCAAGGUGGAGGAGCCACGGAUGCAGGGAGAAGACAUAGAGAAAAGGAAACCUGACCAGCAGGAACUCUUACGUAUAGCUCGAGGGGCCUCACCCCAACAUGAUAUUGGCAGCAGCUAACAUCUGGGAGGUAGCCAUUACCUUGUUAUAUUGCUAACAAACUUCUUAUCAUCUACCACCACACUGAGCUGGCAGACCCGGGGAGCAAAGACGUGGAGGGGUUCUGGGAACAAGGGCAGUUUCUCUCCAGGAGCUGCAGCCAGCACAAUCGCUCUCCUGCGUGUCUGGGCCACACCAUACUGGCCAGCCUAGGAGGAGGGAGAAGAUGGGAAACACCUGGGUUAUGGACACAAGAGCCACGCUGGAUCACACCAAAGGCCUACCUAGGCCAGCAUCCUGGUUGCACCGUGGGCAACUGGAGACUCCCAUGGAAGCCCACAAGCAGGACAUAAGCAUGGUAGCAUCCUUCCACCCUCAGUUCCCAGUGACUGGUAUGAAGAGGCAGACUACCUAUAACCCUGGAGGUAAUACUAACCACUAAGACUAGCAGCCAGAGAUUGCCUUAUUCCUCCAUGAACAUCUCUAAACCCUCUUAAUGCCAUCCAAGUUGUGACAGCAAAUACCAAAACCACACACAGUGUGAAGGAUUUCCUUUUGUCUGCCCCGAAUCUCCCAACAUUCAGUGUCAUUCUAUGGCCCUGAGUUCAAGUAUUCUAUCCCACUUUCUCCACACCACACGAAUUUUGGACACCUCUAUCAUGUCUCCUUUUCUCACCUUGUGGAACAAGAAGAAAAGCUUUCAUUUUUUUUGGCCUUAAAGUAUAAUUCCCAUUUAGAAUUUAUUGCAUUUUCUUCCAUUAUUGAAUAAUGUUUGUUAAGAUUUAUUCUUUAUGUCAGCUUUAUGUCAAAUUCAAACCUAAAAGAGGUCAUUAAAGAUAUCCUCGA